CAAACCGAAUGUCCCUUCGCAAUUUUUCGAAACCCUAGACCUCGCUGAAAAUUGCAUUUGGACUUCCACGCUCUGAUCUUCAAAAAUCAAUACCUUCUUCGAUUCAUAACUCCAAUUCUCCAUUAUUUGUCUUUCUAGUCUCUGAAAUUUUGAGUUCAGGUCGAUUCAUGUCUCGUAUUGAGCCCUAUGUUUCGGGUUCUUGCUCGGAGCAACAGUUUUCGCUACAAGAGGCUACCGCCGCAGCUUCUCCUCCUCCUCUCGGUGCUAAAAUUGGACGGCUCUUUUUUUGCGUAGAAAAUCAGGACCUAUGGUCCUAGGUGCGAGUUGCAAGGACGGCGACGGUGGCAGCAGUUAGAGACGCGGUGGAGAGUGUUUUCUGUGGAAUGUCGAUGAAUAAAAAAGAUGACAAGAUUUCUUGGCCACAUGUGCGGUGUCAUUUUUGCUUAUGCUAUAAGCAUCACAAGCUGAUCGACGACAAAUCACGUAUCCAACAGUUUGAAAUCAGAGAUGUUGAUAAGAAAUAUAGUCCUUUACAAGAUCGGUCUCUAAGGUACAGGAAGAAUGGCAAUGAAAAUGCCCAAGUGAUCUGAAAUUGAUACAUUUUCUAAAUCUGAAAUAAUGAAUAUCAUUGCCUAUCUACAUGUAUCGGAAUGAACAUCAAUUACCACCAACUUCUACUUUCCUCUUGGGGAGAGGAUUUGGAGAUGGAUCAUCUAACAUGCUGCUUUCCGAUGUUCAAUGGAGAAGCUCUGAAGUUUUGGGAGUAGGCUAGGCC